rnacentral:lncRNA from 1 species
UCUCUUCUCCUGCCUGUCUAAACAAACAGAUUUAAAUCUGCUGAGCCAUGUGGAAAGAACACAAAGAUGUAUCUUCAUCCUGUCUGAAAUCCACACUAUGGCAAGGUGACAGUAAAUGAAGACUGCUGUGAAGACAAGAUCUCCAGGCUGUUUUCUCUGCUACAGAGCCUGUCUGAUGCAAAGAAUUUCACUUCCAAAUUGCAUAUCUCUGGAAAUAAAUGAAGAACCAUGUACAGCAAAAUCUCGUGUGUUUCUGCAAAAACAGCAGCAUAUACUACUGAUUGUGAUCUUGAUAAUAUCUAAGAAUGUUUCACUUUAAUGAAAGCCAUCUCUAAGAUCAGAGCUUGCUGUGCUCCUCUGUUGCCUGAAGGCAAAUAGCAGGCAGCCAUAGUAUCCUAAAAGAACUUCUCAGUUCCCUUCAGAAACUGGAGGGUGAAUAAAAAGACUCGCCAUAAGGAGUGGAUGAAUUGG